GGGGAUAACUACUGGAAACGGUAGCUAAUACCGCAUAACGUCGCAAGACCAAAGUGGGGGACCUUCGGGCCUCAUGCCAUCAGAUGUGCCCAGAUGGGAUUAGCUAGUAGGUGGGGUAAUGGCUCACCUAGGCGACGAUCCCUAGCUGGUCUGAGAGGAUGACCAGCCACACUGGAACUGAGACACGGUCCAGACUCCUACGGGAGGCAGCAGUGGGGAAUAUUGCACAAUGGGCGCAAGCCUGAUGCAGCCAUGCCGCGUGUAUGAAGAAGGCCUUCGGGUUGUAAAGUACUUUCAGCGAGGAGGAAGGCAUUAAGGUUAAUAACCUUGGUGAUUGACGUUACUCGCAGAAGAAGCACCGGCUAACUCCGUGCCAGCAGCCGCGGUAAUACGGAGGGUGCAAGCGUUAAUCGGAAUUACUGGGCGUAAAGCGCACGCAGGCGGUCUGUCAAGUCGGAUGUGAAAUCCCCGGGCUCAACCUGGGAACUGCAUUCGAAACUGGCAGGCUAGAGUCUUGUAGAGGGGGGUAGAAUUCCAGGUGUAGCGGUGAAAUGCGUAGAGAUCUGGAGGAAUACCGGUGGCGAAAGCGGCCCCCUGGACAAAGACUGACGCUCAGGUGCGAAAGCGUGGGGAGCAAACAGGAUUAGAUACCCUGGUAGUCCACGCCGUAAACGAUGUCGACUUGGAGGUUGUGCCCUUGAGGCGUGGCUUCCGGAGCUAACGCGUUAAGUCGACCGCCUGGGGAGUACGGCCGCAAGGUUAAAACUCAAAUGAAUUGACGGGGGCCCGCACAAGCGGUGGAGCAUGUGGUUUAAUUCGAUGCAACGCGAAGAACCUUACCUACUCUUGACAUCCAGAGAACUUACCAGAGAUGCUUUGGUGCCUUCGGGAACUCUGAAACAGGUGCUGCAUGGCUGUCGUCAGCUCGUGUUGUGAAAUGUUGGGUUAAGUCCCGCAACGAGCGCAACCCUUAUCCUUUGUUGCCAGCGUUUAGCCCGGG
rnacentral:rRNA from 1 species